rfam:[Clostridium] purinilyticum strain DSM 1384 CLPT_9c, whole genome shotgun sequence.
AUUUAAAUACAUACUAUGUUACUGUUCAAC